CAGCAGCCGCGGUAAUACGUAGGGUGCGAGCGUUAAUCGGAUUUACUGGGCGUAAAGCGUGCGCAGGCGGCCCGUUAAGACAGGUGUGAAAUCCCUGGGCUCAACCUAGGAAUUGCGCUUGUGACUGGCGGGCUCGAGUACGGUAGAGGGGGGUAGAAUUCCUGGUGUAGCAGUGAAAUGCGUAGAGAUCAGGAGGAACACCGAUGGCGAAGGCAGCCCCCUGGGCCUGUACUGACGCUCAUGCACGAAAGCGUGGGGAGCAAACAGGAUUAGAUACCCUGGUAGUCCACGCCCUAAACGAUGGGUACUAGCCGUUUGGUGCGCGAUAGCGCUGAGUGGCGAAGCUAACGCGUGAAGUACCCCGCCUGGGGAGUACGGCCGCAAGGUUGAAACUUAAAGGAAUUGGCGGG
rnacentral:rRNA from 1 species